AUGAAAUGGAGGGAGGACAGUAUAAAGCGGUACCCUCGCCAAAAAAACAUAACGUGGUACGGGAGGGCAACUCAGCUUUUGCGGCAGUUCUUCCCGCGGAGAAAGCCAAUAAACAAGGGAGGCGCCGGGUCUGGUCAGCUCAUGUCGGGCAAUGGUGUUGAUUCUAUGCGUCCAUGGUGGGCCGCCACUGAGUACGGAUGCGCCUCUCACUGCCGGCAGCGCGUGCGCCGUUGUCUCGCCCCGUGGAGUAGCCGCCCAUGCAUACGGACAAGACGAGGAGACCAAGAAGAGAAGCAUAUGACGCAGAUGGAGGAGCUCGUGCGGCAGUGCGACAUGGAGGUCAUGAAGAUGGCCAUGCUCAAGCACGAGCAGACCUUCAGGCAGCAGGUGCAUGAUCUGCACCGGCUGUACCGAGUCCAGAAGCAGCUCAUGGGCGACCAGAGCGGGCGCCCGUCGUCAGUGCUACCCUGCCGUCAGGUGCAGAGGCGCAGGCAGCACCCCCGCCGGCCGGAGCUGAGCCUGCAGCUCCCUGUCGACGACAACGAGGACGAGCACACCGUCGUCAGCGCCGGCACAGGCCGCCUAGCGACGCCGCCGUCCACGGAAAGCGAGGACGAGCUGGAGCUGACGCUGGCCGUCGGCGGCGGCGGCGUCCACGGCGGGAGCAGAAGGAGCCAGAGGAGGAGGCGGGAGAGCGCGACGGACUGCUCCGGCAGAAGAAGCCCACAGACGCCGUCUUCGUCGACCGACUCCGACGAGGCGCUCCGCCCGGUGCAGCACCGCCACCAGAGGGCGACGCCGUGUGAUCUCCGGGGAGGGGUGACGGUGUCGAAGCAGCCGCAAUGGCUGGUGCGCUGUCUCAGCCUUAGGAUGGCUUGA
rnacentral:rRNA from 1 species